rnacentral:rRNA from 1 species
UGACCGUGCGAAGGUAGCAUAAUCAUUAGUCUUUUAAUUGAAGGCUUGUAUGAAUGGUUGGACGAAAAGUAAUCUGUCUCUAUUGGAAAAAUUGAAUUUAACUUUUGAGUGAAAAGGCUUAAAUGAUCUAGAGGGACGAUAAGACCCUAUAAAGUUUGACAUAAUGGUAAUAAAAAGUUGAUUAGGUUGGAGGACUUAUUAUUGCAAAUAAUGUUUUGUUGGGGCGACAAGAAUAUAAAUAAUUUAACUGUUCUUUUUUGUAUCAAAAAUAUUUGGGUUAAUGAUCUUUUUAAGAGUAUUAGAGUAAAUUACUUUAGGGAUAACAGCGUAAUUUUUUUUGAGAGUUCCUAUCGACAAAAGAGUUUGCGACCUCGAUGUUGAAUUAAAGAUUCUUUAUGGUGUAGAAGUUAUACAAGAAGGUCUGUUCGACCUUUAAAUCUUUACAUGAUUUGAGUUCAGACCGGUGUGAGCCAGGUUGGUUUCUAUCUA